rnacentral:antisense_RNA from 1 species
AUCCUAAGUUGUAUAUGUGCAGAGCGCCGCGCGGGUGGUCGCCUCCGCUGCUGCCGCCACCCGCCCGUCCUGCCUUUGACCGCAUAGGUCACAGACAAGACAGGGUGAUCGCGGCAAGACCCUGAGUGAGACUAGUGGCGUUACCCAGAGGGUGCGAGGUCGAGCACCCUCACUGCCCCAUCGCAAACCCAAAGAUCCCCCGUUCCUGGAGAUUCUGAUUGAGGUCCCAGCCCUACCUGUCCUGAUGCCUGACCAGCAGGAUGCAAGCCCAGGAGGCCAUCCAAGAUACCAGGACUGGGAGAGAAUGCCCAGUGGUGAUUCCUGCAUAGUCCUAGGAGGUGUCUUGGGCCCAGGCUCUGGAGUUGGAGGCUCAGUUUGAGCCUUGCACAGGGUCUCUGUUGCAGGUGGCCACUUCUGUACCACAAGGGAUAACGUGUGUCUGGCAAAGCGUGGUGCUACCCAGGGUGAGGCCGAGCUGGAUGAUGCUCCAGUCCUGAACCCCACUCAUGGACACUCACUCACCCAUCUCCGAGGUCCGCCUGGCUCCCGGCGCAGCCC